AUUGAACGCUGGUGGCAGGCUUAACACAUGCAAGUCGAGCGGGGUGAUGGUGCUUGCACUAUCACUUAGCGGCGGACGGGUGAGUAAUGCUUAGGAAUCUGCCUAUUAGUGGGGGACAACAUCUCGAAAGGGAUGCUAAUACCGCAUACGUCCUACGGGAGAAAGCAGGGGAUCACUUGUGACCUUGCGCUAAUAGAUGAGCCUAAGUCGGAUUAGCUAGUUGGUGGGGUAAAGGCCUACCAAGGCGACGAUCUGUAGCGGGUCUGAGAGGAUGAUCCGCCACACUGGGACUGAGACACGGCCCAGACUCCUACGGGAGGCAGCAGUGGGGAAUAUUGGACAAUGGGGGGAACCCUGAUCCAGCCAUGCCGCGUGUGUGAAGAAGGCCUUAUGGUUGUAAAGCACUUUAAGCGAGGGGGAGGCUCUUUUGGUUAAUACCCAAGAUGAGUGGACGUUACUCGCAGAAUAAGCACCGGCUAACUCUGCGCCAGCCGCCGCAGUAA
rnacentral:rRNA from 1 species